UACGUAGGGGGCAAGCGUUGUCCGGAAUUAUUGGGCGUAAAGAGCGUGUAGGCGGUCCGGUAAGUCAGCUGUGAAAGUCAAGGGCUCAACCCUUGAAAGCCGGUUGAUACUGUCGGGCUAGGGUCCGGAAGAGGCGAGUGGAAUUCCCGGUGUAGCGGUGAAAUGCGCAGAUAUCGGGAGGAACACCAAUGGCGAAGGCAGCUCGCUGGGACGGUACUGACGCUGAGACGCGAAAGCGUGGGGAGCGAACAGG
rnacentral:rRNA from 1 species